rnacentral:lncRNA from 1 species
GCAGAAGUGAAUGGUUAAUUGCAGAACCUUGACAUGCCCGGUGCCUGUCCCACCUGGGCUAAGUGGGUUGGACAGGCCCACCUGGCUUGCUCUCUUCCUCAGCAGCCUUUGUUAGAAAGCAGACUGCACAGCUAUAGUUAUGCUGCUGGGAGCCAUUCCAGCCCCAGGAAGAAAAGCUUUCUGCGAGGACCUGCUGGCAACUGCUUGUUCAUCUUGGACUCUUUACUGCGCUCUUCAAUCCAGGACUGGGGGCUCUGUCUGUAUGGCUUGACGAGUGGUGCUGGGUCUGCUCCUGGGAUCUGAACCUACGAACCCCAGGCCACCGAAGCACAGCAUGCCAACUCAACCACUACACCAUCAGGCUGGCCCCUGCACAAGUGUUUUUGAUGGAAGGAAAUGUAAAGGUUGGAGAGCCAGAGUCCAUGGCCGAGGAAGAACAAAGAUCUCUCUCCCGGAUGCAGCCAGCUGCCAAUGUGCCGAAGUUCGGAGUGGUUCUCUCAUUGAAGGACAACAGAUCUCUCAAAUAACGGAUGAUUUACUGACAGUCUUGCUGAGUCUCGUGCAUGGAAAGAUGGACUGGGGUCGAAAGGACUAAACUGGAAGCAGCAUCAGGUGGAGAAGGUGGCAUCACCAGACAUCACCAGCUGUCACUAAGCCUUGAAGACAUCCAGGUGUGCUCCUCCAAGUUGUCAGUGCUUUCGGAGUCUGGUCUUGAGUCCUUUCUUUUCACAAAUGCUGUCAUUCAUUUACUUAGGUUAUGAUGAUGACGAUGAGCAAUGUAACUUCUACCUGGGGGUAGGGGCAGAGAACUAAAAGGAACAGUCAAGUAAUUUAAUGUAUUUUCCACCAUUUUUUACAAAAAGAUUGAAGGUGAUUUAAAAAAAUGAUUAAAAAACAAGAUAAAUUUAAUGCAGGAUGGAAUGCAGGGUACAGUAAGAUGAGGCACGUAAAAUGGAGGCAGGAAUGGUCAGCAAUUAGGAAUAGGGACUUUUAGUUCACACAGGCCAAAACUUCAGUCUAAGCCUCACUGGUUUACAAGCAGUUCUUAACUUCUCCUAGCUUCUGUUUGCUUAUCUACAAACUGGGAGUAACAAAUAUGUGGCAAGAUGACAUUUUGAAAUAUAACUGAGUCCUAUCCCCUGGCCUCCCCCCCGCAACACGUACAAACUUACAUGUUCCUGGGCUCCUGGCCCUUCCCAAUUGAGUGGGUGUGCAGAAAAGAGUUAACACUGCGGGCCCAACUGCUGAACCUUGGAAGGCCUGCUUUAAGGUUGGCCCUCGGCCAUGAUCUGGAAACUUGGAUUUGGGAAGGUUCCCACCACUCAAACUGAAAAAGUGCCUCACUGUGCCUGACCUGUUCAUACAAACAAUGUGGUUUAUGCUGAAGGCCUGCUUUCUGUCUGGGAC